CUCUCUCUCUCUCUCUCUCUUUCUCUCAUUCUCUUCUUCUCUCUCACUUCUUUCUGAAUCUUUUAUCCAUUUGCAUAAAGUUCAUAUAUUACUCAAUGUUAUCUGUUGUUGCUUUUUUUCUCAUUAUCACUGAGAAUCUUAAAAAAAUGUUUUUAUUUAGUGUUUUUGUUGAAUUGUACAGCAUUAAAGUGAAACUUGAGGCUUGCUUCUGGUUAUGUUCAUAUGGAAAUAAAACUCGGAGACAUUUCUUCGUUGGAACAAUGUGGAAGCAGGACAUUUGAUGACAGGUUCAUUGGAUCACUGCAAGUUUGGAACGCUGGUGAGUCAUUUGGAUAUAAAAACAUUUGAUGACAGGUUCAUUUGAUCACUGCAAGUUUGGAACUCUUGUGAGUCAUUUGAAUAUAAAAACUUUUGAUGGCAAGAAUAUUUGAUGUAUUAAGAAAGUGAGUCGUUAGGCUAUUUCACUAGUGAAACAGUGAGAUUUGGUCUUUGGGAAUGUCGUCAUGAAAUCGUGCACUUAUUAGGACCCUGAUAGUUCCCUAAACGUUUAGUCAACAGCUCUUGUCUUGACUGGAGAUUUUCCAAUGUUUGGACAAUGAAUUGACCAGUGAGUUUUUCGGGUAUUAUAGCAAAUCUGAACGUCUUUUACUCUUGUGGCUUAACAAAAGUCGAAAUCAGGAAAGUAUUGUAAGCCCAGGUAGUAAGGAUUGUCUGUCAGUGGGAAGAUUUUGUUGGCACUUGUACAGCAGAAAUGCUUAUCUCAGUCCGUUGGCCAUCCAGGACAGCAAAAAGGCUUAUCUCAGUCCGCUGGCCAUCCAGGACAGCAGAAAGGCUUAUCUCAGUUUGUUGGCAAUCUUGGACAACAGAAAGGCUUAUCUCAGUCCGUUGAUAAUCUUGGACAGCAGAAAGGCUUAUCUCAGUCCGUUGGC